UUUAUGUGUGAAACCAUGUGUCUUGUACUAGCUGACUGGCUCUAGCUAGCUAGCUAGCUACUGCACUGACUGUACGUACGUCCUGGCUGAAUCCUACUAUUUUAUUUAUGGCUCUGCUUACUACCCCAAAUAACUAUCUGGGACACAUACAGACUUUGUGAGGGGAGAUCUUCAAGCUUAGCCUGUGCCUGCAUUCUAUACUGACUGUCGAACUGGUAGGAUCCUCAAUGGCUAAUUGUAACAAGAAAACCCUAUAGGACACAUUCUGUACGUUGAUACAGUUACUGCUCUAUACGGGGGAUCUACAGACGUGACACAAGGAACCCUGUGCACUUAUAAUACAUAGCUAACUCGAUAUACUGACUGGAGGAUCCUACUAUCUCAAUGGCUACCAAGAAACCCUAUAUAUACAUUCUGGGGGAUUUUCAGUCGUGAAACACAAGGAGGAACCCUGUGCAUUUGUAGCUGACUGCAUUCUACUACUGACUGCUUAACUGGAUCCUAUCUCAAUGGCUACUAAGUUUUAACUUCGGAUAAUGUUGUAUUGGAUCUAAUCUAUGCUGCAUAUAACACUCCAUAUCAAAUCAAGAAGGAGAUGUAUAUAUUUAUACUUUGGUGCGCAAGUGCAUAAUUAUAGACUGCUACAGCUGCUCAAUGUAACAAAAGCGCCCUAAAAAGAUACUGGUUUAGUGAAACAGGACACAAGAGGUGGUCCAGGCUCCUUAAGACACGGAGGAGUGAAAUUGAGGGAACUUACAGCUGUCUGAGGGAGACUCUCAACAAGUACAGCGUCUUCACUGGGAGAAACCCUUUGGACCUAGCGGGUGUGGCUAGGUUGAUCUCUCUGUACCUCCUGCUACAGAUGAUACAGGAAAAGAUUUUUAGAAAAAGUGAAGAAUGCAAUCACUGCUGACUGGUACAGUUUGGCAAUACAGCUGGAUAUCGACUACAAAACUAGAAAGGUAACAAAAGCGCCCUAAGUUUAGUGAAACAGGACAUGCACAAAAUCAAGUACAACUGAACACUCGUAGAGAUGAAGUCUUGGUGAUGAAUAAACACAAAACAAUAUACCCGUGAAGAAAACAGAAAUGAAGUCCUUGUGUUUAAGAAACAGAACAGACUCCUGAAGAAAACAGAAAUGAUUCAAGUUCUUGUGAUGAAGAAACAGAACAGGCAAUAUACUCCUGAAGAAAACAGAAAUGCAAAGUCCUUGUGAUGAAGAAAUAGCAGAACUGAGAAACAGAACAAACAUGUAUGACAUUAUAGAAUAGUUUACUUUUAUUAUUCUUUUUGUACAAUUUUGGCCUGUUUUUGGCAGUGUGCAAUUCACACCAGUACUGAAAUAGCACACUAAUUUAGGUGUGACCCUCA